rnacentral:lncRNA from 10 species
GGAAAAUACCCUGGCCCACAGACCCGCCCCGGCAGCCCGGCCCACCCCAAAUCAUGUGUGUGUGCUGGGGGGUGGGGGCUAGUGGGGCAGAGGAUAAGCAGGCUGGAAGAGCCGACUCCUACGGCUGCGAUCCAAGAGGUGCCUGCAACAGUUGCCCCCCGACUUCUGUCGCCCCCAUGGAGGCAAACAAGUCUGGAACAGGGAAUGGGGGUCUGGGAGAGAAGAUGAAAAGACUGAGGAUCAGAGAGGUGAGCAGUAGCUUUCCCAAAGGCCCAGAGCCAAGAAGCGUUGAAGCUUAAAAGCACGCCGCGGCAGGGAAGAUCAAGCAAGCCCUGCGCCUAUCUGCAGCUUGAUCUCUCUGUACUGAGCCAUGGAGCUCCUUCUUGGAGGCGUGAAAUGCUCCCCAUCCUUCAGGAGACAACAGCAACAGCCAGCCACUCCUUGUCCAGUCAGCAAUGCUGGAAUACCUCUGCAGCUCACAGUCCAACGCCCACAGCCUUCGAGUCAGUUUCUUGAUAUUCGGCAAUGCACUGGACUCCUGAUCCCAUCAGCUCCUGGCUGAAGGCCGGAUCUCUGGAUCUCCCCAGCCUCCAGAUCUCAGUGUGGCUCUCUCUGGAGACAAAAGCUAAGACUCAACCCACAGGCAACACUCAACACAGAGAUCCAGCUCAGAAAAAAAGGAGCUGACCAGGGAGGAAUGGAGAGGCCAAGACACAUAAUGAAGACUAAGAAAAGGAAGAAAGAUGAUGCUGGGGCUGGAGCCAAAGGGAGAGGAAGAGGAAAGGAAGGAAAGCCAGGGGCAGAGACCUGGCAGGGCAGCGUGAGCCCAACAACCACGGGGUGGGGGUGGGGCGCGCAUCAAGAUUUCUAACAAGCGCAGCUGAAAACACCCAGGGCCGUUCUCUGAGGCCUUCUCUCUGCCUACCAGCCCUCACCAGUGCUUCGAAGAGCCCUGAGGAACGUCUCUCUAUUUGAAGUCAGAGCCGAGUGCCUGCUCUCGGCACCUGGGGCUCCAUGCUUACCAGGAUGGUGGGUACUUGACCUUCAUUUGCUGUGGGACUGUCAGGGAUUCCAGGGACCCACUGGUCCCCGAACUGGCUCAGAGAUGCAAGCCAUUUUUACCUCCUACACAUCUAUAAUCCCCACCCCAUGGCUGACAAAUAUUCCCAGUCCACAGCUGUCUCCACCCACCCAGUGACAGAGCACAGGCAGCCAAAAGGAUCAAGCAAUCUCUUGCCACCUCCCAGCACCCCAGAAUGCUAAACAGACCCUCACAUCUGGACUCCACAUCCAGCGAGGAGUGCCCCUGCCCACCACCCAGAUCACACAGCUGCCAGUUACAGACCACCCUAUAGGUCCCACCACACGGCCAUAGCCCACCAGCAUCCCAGAGCUGCCUCUACACUAAAGCUCUGUCCCAGCCCAGCCAUCCUUCAAGCCACAUCUGGAAUAGCACACACCCUAUUCCACUAGCCAAAGCCCCCAGGGGUGUAAUUCAGAAGGAGGCAGACUGGGCCUGGGGCAUGUGGACAAGUCCCUGACACCACGCCCUGGCUUCUCCGGCUUGUCUGAAGAACCUGAACUGCCCUUAAGGCCUGCGCCUCCCAUCCCAGGGCAGCCCCCCCGCCAUACCUACACUCUUGGCCAUGGGAGAAUGUCCUCAUGUGCGGCUAAACAUCCUCCUCAUGCAGCCUUGAAUUCUGUUCCUUCCACGUCACCUCACCAGACCCAGGAUGAAAGCCGCUCACCUAGAGCAAAGCUUCUGCUUCCGAGGCAUUCAGGACUCCCCUCAGGGUGUGUGAGCACCCUGGGGCACAUGCCUGUUGCUUAUGUCUGGGUUACCUCUGUGACCCUGGGACCGCUCCACAUUGAAGGCCGUUGUGUCUUUUUGUGGAAGGAUGGAAGGACAGAAGGGAAGGAGAGACAAAGUGGUACCACAGCCCUGUUCUUGCCCUGGCACUUGGAGGGCACCAGAUACCCAGGGGACUGUAGCUGGCUGUGAGGACUCUAAGGCCAGGCCAGCAUACACAGUCCCCAAUAGUGAGUAGGAGCCCAGUCAGUCCACACCCCUUCCCAUCCACUCGAAAUGUAACUUAGCCCUCGGCUUCUCCUUACCUUUCAGGAGUUCUCUCCUUACCCCCAAAGACUUCCUGAGGACCCCCUAGGCCAGCCAGCCUAUCCCUCUCUCCCCUAACCCAGCAUCCUGCAGUCCCCUGGUUCAGAUUGGUGGUGUCUGUGCCUGAACCCCCACGAGCCUGAAAGCCCCUCAAAGGCCACAUGGGUCUCCCGCCUCUCUGCAUCUCCAGAUGGUGGCACGAGGCCUAGCACACAAGGAAUCCCAGAAAAUGUUGGCUGAAGGAAUAAAUGGAUGGAUCUAGGUUUAUG